UUCUUACAUAUAUGAUUUCUUCAAUUCUGCACUACAUGCUUUCUUUCUAUCUUGUUUUUUCUGAAUUAAGUCACAUGAACCUUGAUGCAAAGAAUCUUGUAAUAAAUGAAGUUAGGCUCAUUCUAGACAAGAUAAAAUGAAGUUGUUUUCCUCCUGUGCAUAUAAAGUUGAGAAUUUGUGAAACUUAGUCAAUUUUAAAGGGAGGAAAAGGUUAAGAAUCCUGUCAUAGCCAAGUGCAUCUCUUAAGUCAACUGAAAUUUCCCUGCCAAUAAGGUAAUGUCAAGAGAAGUGCCAGAACAGUUUAAAGAAUAAAGAACAUAUGCAUUUUGAGACUGCCACCUGCCUACUUGUUUAUGCUAUUUAAAAUAAAGAUGACUGAUUAGACUUAGGAUUCAUAUAACCUAUAUAAAAAUUCAUGGCUUAAAAGGGGCCUGGACAAUUGGUUCUACAGAUGUUUCCAGUUUGGUCUCUAGUGUUGCAUUUGUCUUGCAUUAUGUUCUGUGAAAAUGUGUACUAAUGGAAGAUUUUGGGUUGUGCUUGCUUGGUUUUGAUUAAGCUAUAGUUGUCAAGACUGUAAUGUGCACCUAUCAACUUAUCUUGUUUUCCAUGAGAGAGACCACUCAGAGUUUGGAAUAUGUAAUCUUGAGGACAAUCAAGUAUUCGUUUGAAGUGUCCAUGAACCAUUGAAAGCCAUUUAGGGGUUAGGUUUAUACAGUGUAGGCACACCUUAUGUAUAUUGAAUUUAUCAUGAUAACA